GCAGAUGUGCCGGAAUUUAGGGAGACGGGGUGGCCUUAGGAGCCAAAGAGUUAAUACUCGUAAAGGUUCGAGUCCUUUUAUCUGUA
rnacentral:tRNA from 2 species